UGCUGAAGACUGCACCUGAUCUUGUACA
rnacentral:piRNA from 1 species